rnacentral:rRNA from 1 species
AGAGUUUGAUCCUGGCUCAGAUUGAACGCUGGCGGCAGGCCUAACACAUGCAAGUCGAGCGGACGAGUGGAGCUUGCUCCAUGAUUCAGCGGCGGACGGGUGAGUAAUGCCUAGGAAUCUGCCCGGUAGUGGGGGACAACGUUUCGAAAGGAACGCUAAUACCGCAUACGUCUACGGGAGAAAGCAGGGGACCUUCGGGCCUUGCGCUAUCAGAUGAGCCUAGGUCGGAUUAGCUAGUUGGUGAGGUAACGGCUCACCAAGGCGACGAUCCGUAACUGGUCUGAGAGGAUGAUCAGUCACACUGGAACUGAGACACGGUCCAGACUCCUACGGGAGGCAGCAGUGGGGAAUAUUGGACAAUGGGCGAAAGCCUGAUCCAGCCAUGCCGCGUGUGUGAAGAAGGUCUUCGGAUUGUAAAGCACUUUAAGUUGGGAGGAAGGGCAGUAAGUUAAUACCUUGCUGUUUUGACGUUACCGACAGAAUAAGCACCGGCUAACUUCGUGCCAGCAGCCGCGGUAAUACGAAGGGUGCAAGCGUUAAUCGGAAUUACUGGGCGUAAAGCGCGCGUAGGUGGUUCAGCAAGUUGGAUGUGAAAGCCCCGGGCUCAACCUGGGAACUGCAUCCAAAACUACUGAGCUAGAGUACGGUAGAGGGUGGUGGAAUUUCCUGUGUAGCGGUGAAAUGCGUAGAUAUAGGAAGG